CCUACGGUGGCUGCAGUGGGGAAUAUUGGACAAUGGGCGAAAGCCUGAUCCAGCCAUGCCGCGUGUGUGAAGAAGGCCUUCGGGUUGUAAAGCACUUUCAGUGGGGAAGAAAGCCUUGGGGCUAAUACCCUCGAGGAAGGACAUCACCCACAGAAGAAGCACCGGCUAACUCCGUGCCAGCAGCCGCGGUAAUACGGAGGGUGCGAGCGUUAAUCGGAAUUACUGGGCGUAAAGCGCGCGUAGGCGGUCUGAUAAGCCGGUUGUGAAAGCCCCGGGCUCAACCUGGGAACGGCAUCCGGAACUGUCAGGCUAGAGUGCAGGAGAGGAAGGUAGAAUUCCCGGUGUAGCGGUGAAAUGCGUAGAGAUCGGGAGGAAUACCAGUGGCGAAGGCGGCCUUCUGGACUGACACUGACGCUGCGGUGCGAAAGCGUGGGUAGCAAACAGGAUUAGAUACCCCAGAGUC
rnacentral:rRNA from 1 species